GACGAACGCUGGCGGCGUGCUUAACACAUGCAAGUCGAACGGAGUGGCGAACGGGUGAGUAACACGUGGGUGACCUGCCCUGCACUUCGGGAUAAGCCUGGGAAACUGGGUCUAAUACCGGAUAGUGUGGGAUGGGCCCGCGGCCUAUCAGCUUGUUGGUGGGGUAAUGGCCUACCACGGCGGCGACGGGUAGCCGGCCUGAGAGGGUGGACGGCCACAUGGGGACUGAGACAGGGACCAGAGGGCUACGGGGGGCAGCAGGGGGGAAUAUGGCACAAUGGGCGGAAGCCUGAUGCAGAGACGCCGCGUGGGGGAUGACGGCCUUCGGGGUGUAAACUCCUUUAACCAUCGACGCGGUAGAUGGAGAAGAAGCACCGGCUAACUACGUGCCAGCAGCCGCGGUAAUAC
rnacentral:rRNA from 1 species